rnacentral:rRNA from 1 species
CGCUCUUUGUGAAAACAAAAUAAAGAGUCGGACCUGCCCAGUGACAUACGUGUUAAACGGCCGCGGUACUCUGACCGUGCAAAGGUAGCAUAAUCACUUGCCUUUUAAUUGAAGGCUUGUAUGAAUGGUUUAACGAGAACUAAGCUGUCUCCUUUUAAAUAUUUAGAAGUUAACUUGUAGGUGAAGAGGCUUACAUGUGUUUGAGGGACAAGAAGACCCUUUUGAGUUUUAGUAAAAUCGAAAAGUAGAUUCUAUUUUAAUUUGGGUUAAGAUAAAUAGCUGUGUAAUAACAUAAGCUGAUUUUUUGGCUAAUCUUUAGUUGGGGCGACUGAGGAAUAUAUUAAGCUUCCUUUAAAGUAUAUUAUGAUUAACUAAUUAAGUUUGAUCCAGUGUUUGCUGAUUAAAGGAAAAAAUUACCAUAGGGAUAACAGCGUAAUCUUUUUGGAGAGUUCUUAUCGAAAAAAGGGUUUGCGACCUCGAUGUUGGACUAAGAUAUCCUAGGGGUGUAGAAGCUCCUAAAGGUUGGUCUGUUCGACCAUUAAAAUCUU